AACGAACGCUGGCGGCAUGCCUAACACAUGCAAGUCGAACGAUUGCCUUCGGGUGAUAGUGGCGCACGGGUGCGUAACGCGUGGGAAUCUGCCCUUAGGUUCGGAAUAACAGCUGGAAACGGCUGCUAAUACCGGAUGAUAUCGCGAGAUCAAAGAUUUAUCGCCUGAGGAUGAGCCCGCGUUGGAUUAGGUAGUUGGUGGGGUAAAGGCCUACCAAGCCGACGAUCCAUAGCUGGUCUGAGAGGAUGAUCAGCCACACUGGGACUGAGACACGGCCCAGACUCCUACGCGAGGCAGCAGUGGGGAAUAUUGGACAAUGGGCGCAAGCCUGAUCCAGCAAUGCCGCGUGAGUGAUGAAGGCCCUAGGGUUGUAAAGCUCUUUUACCCGGGAAGAUAAUGACUGUACCGGGAGAAUAAGCCCCGGCUAACUCCGUG
rnacentral:rRNA from 1 species